CCUACGGGUGGCAGCAGUGGGGAAUAUUGGGCAAUGGGCGCAAGCCUGAACCAGCAACGCCGCGUGAAGGAAGAAGGCUUUCGGGUUGUAAACUUCUUUUGACAGUGAAGUGUAGACGAAGGUACCUGUCGAUUAAGCUACGGCUAACUACUGGCCAGCAGCCGCGGUAGUACGUAGGUGGCAAGCGUUGUCCGGAUUUACUGGGUGUAAAGGGCGUGUAGCCGGGUUGACAAGUCAGAUGUGAAAUCCUGCGGCUUAACCGCAGAACUGCAUGUGACACUGGUGAUCUUGAGUACGGGAGAGGCAGACGGAAUUCCUAGUGUAGCGGUGAAAUGCGUAGAUAUUAGGAGGAACACCAGUGGCGAAGGCGGUCUGCUGGACAGCAACUGACGGUGAGGCGCGAAAGCGUGGGGAGCAAACAGGAUUAGAUACCCGAGUAGUC
rnacentral:rRNA from 1 species